CCCCUGCCGCGUGCCGCGUCGAAGGGAGCGAGGAGGGCGAGGAUGGUGAGGCUCCCGUACCUGACCGCGCUCACCACGCCCUUCAGCUACGGCCUCCUCUUCCCCUUCGGCCACUUCCGCGACUUCUUCCGCCGGAUCCUCGAUGCCGACAAAUCCAACAACCUCAAGGGUUACGCGCCCAUUUGCCUGGGGUACGAGGAUUUCUAUAGGCGCCGCCUCUACCUGCGCAUCCAGCACAGGGGAUUUUUGGUGGUCAAGUCAAUACAUCAGCCAAUACUCUCAUAAACUUCAUUGGACGUCCUUGCACUUUUGUUGGAAGAUGACAGGCAGUAGCACUGCUUCAGUAUAUUAGGCGAAUAUUUACAAAAUCUGGAGAUGUGUGAUUACACUUGAUCUAUACAUGUUUGCCUACAUUUGAAUAACUUUGACUUUGUGACCAUCACACUUGGUAUCUUUUCUAAUGUAUUUUUUGUUUUGCUAGGUUAAGUAGUUCCUGUGAAAUGACUUUGGGAAAGGUGUGGUUCAAGGGGUAAUUAGCAGUAGCACCUCAUGCAAACAGGGAGUGCACGAUCGAGGGGACCAGCGAGUUGCAGCGGUGGAAGGUGCAGAGGUUGCUGCGAGAAGGCUGGCAAGCAGUGGCGUCCUACAUGUUUAAGCUGACUUAAACUACAAGAUGGUGGGUAUUUUCUUCCAUGAAGCUACUAUUGAAUUUGAUAUAAUCUGCAGUUGUAAUAAAAAAGCUGAAGAAAUCUGCAGCUGUAAUAAAAAAGCUGAAGAACUACAUUGAUUUUGCUACCUGCCAAGUGUUGUUGUUUUUCGACAUUGAUUUCGUUGGUGGUUUUUGGUAUCAUGCUUGUUAGCUUGCUCGGCUGCUGUAGAGAGGUGACACGACGCGACGGGACGAGUGAAGGUAGACAUAGUCGGAGACGAGCGUUGGAUACAGAGGUAGCGCGACGACAACUGAGAUGAGGGUCGCAAGACGGAGACGGGUACAUAGGCAGCUUUUCAUGCCAUUUUGCAUGCUAAAUAAUAAAUAUGACAGCGAAGUAAUAGUGGGCUUUGGUUGUUAUUUGCUAAUGGUAAUAGUACUGGACAGAGCAUCAUUCUGUUGUGGAAAGAUAUCUUUUAUGUACAAACUUAACUUGUUAGUCAUUUCAAGGGGGGGGCACACUUAUAUUGUGUUUCUCAAUUUCUCAUCUAGCUGUUGAUUAAAUUUGGUGAUACAGGAAUAAAGGCUGCCACAAAGGAUGAGCGUGUACUUGGAUCAGUAAAAUGUCACGUGUUAUAUUUUCUCUCUUUUCUUUAUCAAACUAGCCAAUUCCUAUCUAGCAAAAGAAGAAAAACAUUAAUAGACAUAGACUAUUUUUGUUUUACGAAAAUGUCUUCCAUCUAAGCAUAUUAGACCUAAAAUAUGUUUUGUUAACAAAUUAUGCUUUACCCUAAUUUCUACAUUUUGUUCAGGCCUUGCAGAGCAUUUACCUUCUACAACAAACAGUGGUCAACGAGUUCUUAAAGAAAAGUAUAUGACGUGAUUGCUAUGCAUCAAAAUCAUUUAGCUAGGGUUAAGGUUUCAGGAAAAAACAAGACAUUUUCUUUACAAUGAACCUGGUCAAAGUACAUAAUGCAAUUUCUUUAUGCAGAGAAAUUAUUUUUUCUGCUAAAGGUAAUCAUGGUCUUUGGGCUUAACAUAAUUGCUUAUUGUGUAAUUCUAUAGAUUGAAAUGUAAGCUUGUAGACGCUUGAGCAUGGGAGGCAGCAUGGAUUUCUCUAUAAGGGUGUCAGGCGCCACCUUGAGAUGUGUCUGUGGUUGUGAGAGUUACUGAAGUCAUUCAUUGACGGAAUAAAGUGGAGUGACUAAAGUCAGUCAGACAGCAGGAUCUUUAUACCUAUGACAACAGCAAUGAAUGUGGUAAAGAGUUACGAUUGUGCUUCAGUUUAUGCAUUUUAGCAUUUAUAAAUGCUUUUGGGAGCGGUUAUAUAUGUUGGAUAUGGAUACGAGUAAGACUGUCAAUAAUUAAUUAUGGUCUGACCAUAUAUAUAGCUAGCAAGUAUCUGAAUGUAAGACAGUAACCUGAAGAUGUGUGCUCGCUUUUUUGCUUCGAUCAUAUUUUACGCCA